rnacentral:rRNA from 1 species
UUGAACGCUGGCGGCAGGCCUAACACAUGCAAGUCGAGCGGAUGAAGGGAGCUUGCUCCUGGAUUCAGCGGCGGACGGGUGAGUAAUGCCUAGGAAUCUGCCUGGUAGUGGGGGAUAACGUCCGGAAACGGGUGUUAAUACCGCAUACGUCCUGAGGGAGAAAGUGGGGGAUCUUCGGACCUCACGCUAUCAGAUGAGCCUAGGUCGGAUUAGCUAGUUGGUGGGGUAAAGGCCUACCAAGGCGACGAUCCGUAACUGGUCUGAGAGGAUGAUCAGUCACACUGGAACUGAGACACGGUCCAGACUCCUACGGGAGGCAGCAGUGGGGAAUAUUGGACAAAGGGCGAAAGCCUGAUCCAGCCAUGCCGCGUGUGUGAAGAAGGUCUUCGGAUUGUAAAGCACUUUAAGUUGGGAGGAAGGGCAGUAAGUUAAUACCUUGCUGUUUUGACGUUACCAACAGAAUAAGCACCGGCUAACUUCGUG